rnacentral:rRNA from 1 species
UACGUAGGGCGCAAGCGUUAUCCGGAAUUAUUGGGCUUAAAGAGCUCGUAGGCGGUUUGUCGCGUCUGCCGUGAAAGUCCGGGGCUCAACUCCGGAUCUGCGGUGGGUACGGGCAGACUAGAGUGAUGUAGGGGAGACUGGAAUUCCUGGUGUAGCGGUGAAAUGCGCAGAUAUCAGGAGGAACACCGGUGGCGAAGGCGGGUCUCUGGGCAACAACUGACGCUGAGGAGCGAAAGCGUGGGGAGCGAACAGG